UCUGGCUGGUCUUCACCCCUUUCCAAGCCCUCACCACCACGGACAUGCAAAGAUUGGUGCUUCCCUGAGACCUGCCCACUAGUCACCACAUGCAGACAAUGGACACUUCACACCUCACUGAUGUGAACCUCCAGGAUUGACCCUUGUCUUCCACAGAGCUGGAUUUGUGAAAGGAUGACAGCAACCACAAGAAAAAGAAAUCAGUGAGCCACAUUAAAACGCCUUUAUUCCCUGCAACAGUUAAAGCAACAAAAUCUAAUGACAUGAAAUAAACACUGCAAAACUG
rnacentral:lncRNA from 1 species